CCCGACUGCUAUUUGGGUGAGAAUAAGCCAUGCAAGUCGAAUGGAAUACCAAAAUAUUCCAUGGCAAACUGCUCAAUAACACGUGAUCAACUUACCCUAUGGAAAACAAUAACCUCUGGAAACGGAGGAUAAUGGUUUAUAGUUGAAAAGGCUUGGAAAAGUUUUUCAAUAAAAGGGAAUAAUAAAAAUGGUUAUUAUUUUGCCAUAGGAUAGGAUUGCGGUCGAUUAUGGCUGUGGGUGAGGUAAUGGCUCACCAAACCAAUAAUCGAUAGGGGCCGUGAGAGCGGGAGCCCCGAGAUGGGUACUGAGACAACGACCCAGGCCUUACGAGGCGCAGCAGGCGCGAAAACUCCGCAAUACACGAAAGUGUGACGGGGUUACCCAAAGUGCUUAAUAUUUAAGCUGUGGUAAGUGUGUAAUGAACCUUACUAGAAAGGAGAGGGCAAGGCUGGUGCCAGCCGCCGCGGUAAAACCAGCUCUUCAAGUGGUCGGGAUAUUUAUUGGGCUUAAAGUGUCCGUAGCUUGUAUAAUAAGUUCCUGGUAAAAUCUAAUAGCUUAACUAUUAGUAUGCUAGGAAUACUGUUAUACUAGAGGGCGGGAGAGGUUUGAGGUACUUCAGGGGUAGGGGUGAAAUCCUAUAAUCCUUGAAGGACCACCAGUGGCGAAGGCGUCAGACUGGAACGCGCCUGACAGUGAGGGACGAAAGCCAGGGGAGCGAACCGGAUUAGAUACCCGGGUAGUCCUGGCCGUAAACGAUGCACACUAGGUGUUGGUAUGGCUAUGAGCCAUAUCAGUGCCGAAGGGAAACCAUUAAGUGUGCCGCCUGGGAAGUACGGUCGCAAGGCUAAAACUUAAAGGAAUUGGCGGGGGAGCACCACAAGGGGUGAAGCCUGCGGUUC
rnacentral:rRNA from 1 species